rnacentral:rRNA from 1 species
AAACGACUCUCGGCAACGGAUAUCUCGGCUCUCGCAUCGAUGAAGAACGUAGCGAAAUGCGAUACUUGGUGUGAAUUGCAGAAUCCCGUGAACCAUCGAGUCUUUGAGCGCAAGUUGCGCCCCAAGCCUUCUGGCCGAGGGCACGUCUGCCUGGGUGUCACAA